rnacentral:rRNA from 1 species
GUACACUCCUGCGGGAGGCAGCAGUGGGGAAUUUUGGACAAUGGGCGAAAGCCUGAUCCAGCAAUGCCGCGUGAGUGAAGAAGGCCUUCGGGUUGUAAAGCUCUUUUGUCAGGGAAGAAACGGUGAGAGCUAAUAUCUUUUGCUAAUGACGGUACCUGAAGAAUAAGCACCGGCUAACUACGUGCCAGCAGCCGCGGUAAUACGUAGGGUGCAAGCGUUAAUCGGAAUUACUGGGCGUAAAGCGUGCGCAGGCGGUUUUGUAAGUCUGAUGUGAAAUCCCCGGGCUCAACCUGGGAAUUGCAUUGGAGACUGCAAGGCUAGAAUCUGGCAGAGGGGGGUAGAAUUCCACGUGUAGCAGUGAAAUGCGUAGAUAUGUGGAGGAACACCGAUGGCGAAGGCAGCCCCCUGGGUCAAGAUUGACGCUCAUGCACGAAAGCGUGGGGAGCAAACAGGAUUAGAUACCCCGGUAGUCCCAUGA